rnacentral:rRNA from 1 species
UACAGAGGUCUCAAGCGUUGUUCGGAUUCAUUGGGCGUAAAGGGUGCGCAGGCGGUCUCGUAAGCUGGGUGUGAAAUCCCCGGGCUUAACCUGGGAAUGGCAUUUGGGACUGCAAGGCUGGAGUGCGGCAGAGGAGACUGGAAUUCCUGGUGUAGCAGUGAAAUGCGUAGAUAUCAGGAGGAACACCGAUGGCGAAGGCAGGUCUCUGGGCUGACACUGACGCUCAUGCACGAAAGCGUGGGGAGCAAACAGG